CCCUGGCAAUGCCUCUGUCAGCUGUGGUUAACAAGUGGCAGCUAGCAGGCCAGGGCAGGCUGUGGUGACCUCGGGUGGGGACAGCCAAUGAGCUCUCAAGCUGUGGUGGCACCACCGGGCAGCCCGCCUGUCUUUGGCUGGUGUAACAGCGGGAGGGGCCUGGGCCCGCCAGUCAGGGCCGCCAGCCCUGUCUCUGGGAGACUGGGGCAGAUCUGCCACUCAUUCACAGAGAGCCUCCUAGGGCUGCCUCAGUUUCAACUUUUCCAACCUCUUCAGGAUGGCUGAGAAAACUUUGGGAACUUGGCCCAUCUUCUGGAUCCAAGUGGGCCAGAGCCCCAGGCUGGGGAGAGGGGAGAUUCUGGGAAUCCUAUUUGUUGGGGUACUUUUAAAAAAGAGCCAAGAUGAACUCGGGAAGGACAGUUGCCACCGCGUGGCUGGCAGCUUGGGGAAGUAAGGCUUUGGAAGAUGGCAGGCGCAACACCAUGCCCACCACCACAGGAAAGCUCAGGAAGAACACAAUUCCAAAAGGCCCAGUAUAAAUGUGGGAAUAAAUAAAACCUCCCUCCUUCCUCUGGCA